rnacentral:rRNA from 1 species
UACGUAGGGUGCGAGCGUUGUCCGGAAUUAUUGGGCGUAAAGGGCUCGUAGGCGGUUUGUCACGUCGGGAGUGAAAACUCAGGGCUUAACCCUGAGCCUGCUUCCGAUACGGGCAGACUAGAGGUAUGCAGGGGAGAACGGAAUUCCUGAUGUAGCGGUGAAAUGCGUAGAGAUCGGGAGGAAUACCGGUGGCGAAAGCGACUCUCUGGACGGCAACUGACGCUGAGGCACGAAAGCGUGGGGAGCAAACAGG